rnacentral:sRNA from 1 species
CUAGUGAAACUAAUCGCUCUUCUUAAGCUUGAUGAUCCCUUUGGGCACCUUGCCCAGGACACCCUUGUCAAGUUUCUGAUACUGAUUCUGAAGCAGGCCAAGUGUGUUGUACAGGAACUCGUCCACUUUUUCUUGGUUCUUCUCAUACAGCACCGGGAGAGUGUGAGCACACACAAAUCCUGAACAGAAAAUUAAUUCAAAGUUUUAAGAAUCAAAUCUUGCUCAAUCUUCACAGACCCACAAAAAUUCUUCAGGUCUCUUCCACAAGACACAUCCUGAAGAGUGCCCAAGAACUUGUUCACUUGGGUGCCAAUUGCAGAACCAAUGUUUGCGAACAGCUCAUCCGGCAAUUCGACGCGAGGAACUUUCGAAGGUUUCAUACCCAUUUAGCAUGCCUGCAAAAGUGGACCAUGCAAACUGGACAACCAUGCCAAGAACAAGAACAAAGCAAGCAAUCGUCAGGAAGUGGUAGUCGAGCCACUCGAAGAAAACCCAGACAGCCGUUGCAACUGCAAGAACACU